UACUCCUUAUAAGACUCGAACUUAUGACCUACUCAUUAGAAGUGAGUUGCUCUAUCCAACUGAGCUAAAGGAGC
rnacentral:tRNA from 1 species